UACGUAGGUGACAAGCGUUGUCCGGAUUUACUGGGCGUAAAGAGCGCGCAGGCGGUCGAUCAAGUCGCGUGUGAAAGCCCCCGGCUCAACUGGGGAGGGUCACGCGAUACUGAUCGACUCGAAGGCAGGAGAGGGUAGUGGAAUUCCGGGUGUAGUGGUGGAAUGCGUAGAGAUCCGGAGGAACACCAGUGGCGAAGGCGGCUGCCUGGGCCUGGCCUGACGCUGAGGCGCGAAAGCGUGGGGAGCGAUCCGG
rnacentral:rRNA from 1 species